UGGGAAACGGGUUAAUAUUCCCGUACUUGGUGUUACUGCGAAGGGGGGACGGAGAAGGCUAUGUUGGCCGGGCGACGGUUGUCCCGGUUUAAGCGUGUAGGUGUGUGUUCCAGGUAAAUCCGGUUCACUUUAACACUGAGGCGUGACGACGAGGCACUACGGUGCUGAAGCAACAAAUGCCCUGCUUCCAGGAAAAGCCUCUAAGCAUCAGGUAACAUCAAAUCGUACCCCAAACCGACACAGGUGGUCAGGUAGAGAAUACCAAGGCGCUUGAGAGAACUCGGGUGAAGGAACUAGGCAAAAUGGUGCCGUAACUUCGGGAGAAGGCACGCUGACAUGUAGGUGAAGUGAUUUACUCAUGGAGCUGAAGUCAGUCGAAGAUACCAGCUGGCUGCAACUGUUUAUUAAAAACACAGCACUGUGCAAACACGAAAGUGGACGUAUACGGUGUGACGCCUGCCCGGUGCCGGAAGGUUAAUUGAUGGGGUCAGCGCAAGCGAAGCUCCUGAUCGAAGCCCCGGUAAACGGCGGCCGUAACUAUAACGGUCCUAAGGUAGCGAAAUUCCUUGUCGGGUAAGUUCCGACCUGCACGAAUGGCGUAAUGAUGGCCAGGCUGUCUCCACCCGAGACUCAGUGAAAUUGAACUCGCUGUGAAGAUGCAGUGUACCCGCGGCAAGACGGAAAGACCCCGUGAACCUUUACUAUAGCUUGACACUGAACAUUGAGCCUUGAUGUGUAGGAUAGGUGGGAGGCUUUGAAGUGUGGACGCCAGUCUGCAUGGAGCCGACCUUGAAAUACCACCCUUUAAUGUUUGAUGUUCUAACGUGGACCCGUGAUCCGGGUUGCGGACAGUGUCUGGUGGGUAGUUUGACUGGGGCGGUCUCCUCCUAAAGAGUAACGGAGGAGCACGAAGGUUGGCUAAUCCUGGUCGGACAUCAGGAGGUUAGUGCAAUGGCAUAAGCCAGCUUGACUGCGAGCGUGACGGCGCGAGCAGGUGCGAAAGCAGGUCAUAGUGAUCCGGUGGUUCUGAAUGGAAGGGCCAUCGCUCAACGGAUAAAAGGUACUCCGGGGAUAACAGGCUGAUACCGCCCAAGAGUUCAUAUCGACGGCGGUGUUUGGCACCUCGAUGUCGGCUCAUCACAUCCUGGGGCUGAAGUAGGUCCCAAGGGUAUGGCUGUUCGCCAUUUAAAGUGGUACGCGAGCUGGGUUUAGAACGUCGUGAGACAGUUCGGUCCCUAUCUGCCGUGGGCGCUGGAGAACUGAGGGGGGCUGCUCCUAGUACGAGAGGACCGGAGUGGACGCAUCACUGGUGUUCGGGUUGUCAUGCCAAUGGCACUGCCCGGUAGCUAAAUGCGGAAGAGAUAAGUGCUGAAAGCAUCUAAGCACGAAACUUGCCCCGAG
rnacentral:rRNA from 1 species